rnacentral:rRNA from 1 species
UGAGGAAUAUUGCACAAAUGGAGGGAAACUCUGAUGCAGCAAACGCCGCGUGGAGGAUGACGCAUUUCGGUGUGUAAACUCCUUUUAUGAGUCAAGAAAAUGACGGUAGCUCAUGAAUAAGCACCGGCUAACUCCGUGCCAGCAGCCGCGGUAAUACGGAGGGUGCAAGCGUUAUUCGGAAUCACUGGGCGUAAAGGACGCGUAGGCGGGAAGCCAAGUCUGAUGUGAAAUCCUAUGGCUUAACCAUAGAACUGCAUUGGAAACGUGGUUACCUAGAGUAUGGGGAGGGGGAGAGUGGUAAUUAGUGGUGGUGGGGUAAAAUCCGUAGAUAUCACUAGGAAUACCGAAAGCGAAGGCGAUCUCCUGGAACAAUACUGACGCUAAGGCGUGAAAGCGUGGGGAGCAAACG